GCAAACUUGGUCAUUUAGAGGAAGUAAAAGUCGUAACAAGGUUUCCGUAGGUGAACCUGCGGAAGGAUCAUUAGAGAUUGGCGCUUGGGCUACCCGCCCGGCGUAUGCCAACAUCCAUAUACACCUGUGAACCUGUGGCCCCUUUUGGGGGGUGCACCUUUCUACAACUCUGUGUAAUGAACGUGAUGUAUCAUAACAAUAACAAAACUUUCAACAACGGAUCUCUUGGCUCUCGCAUCGAUGAAGAACGCAGC
rnacentral:misc_RNA from 1 species